GACGAACGCUGGCGGCGUGCUUAACACAUGCAAGUCGAACGAGAAUCUGUGGAAAGAGGAUUCGUCCAAUUGAAGCAGAGGACAGUGGCGGACGGGUGAGUAACGCGUGAGGAACCUGCCUUUCAGAGGGGGACAACAGUUGGAAACGACUGCUAAUACCGCAUAACAUAUAGAUGUCGCAUGGCAUUUAUAUCAAAGAUUUAUCGCUGAAAGAUGGCCUCGCGUCUGAUUAGCUAGUUGGUGAGGUAACGGCCCACCAAGGCGACGAUCAGUAGCCGGACUGAGAGGUUGAACGGCCACAUUGGGACUGAGAUACGGCCCAGACUCCUACGGGAGGCAGCAGUGGGGAAUAUUGGGCAAUGGGCGCAAGCCUGACCCAGCAACGCCGCGUGAAGGAAGAAGGCUUUCGGGUUGUAAACUCCUGUUGUUGAGGAAGAUAAUGACGGUACUCAACAAGGAAGUGACGGCUAACUACGUGCCAGCAGCCG
rnacentral:rRNA from 1 species